AGUUUCCUUCAGGAUAGCUGGCGUUCGAUGAGAGAGCAGUCGCACCUGGUAAAGCGAAUGAUUAGAGGCAUUGGGGUCGAAAUGUCCUCAACCUAUUCUCAAGCUUUCAAUGGAUGUGUGCGAGGCCUUCUGGGUUUGAGGCCUCCCGCUGCGAUUAGAGUGCGAAGUGGGCCACUUUUGGUAAGCAGAACUGGCACUGUAGGAUGAACCAAACGCCGGAGUAAGGCGCCCGAGUAUCCUUAUGGGGAAAGUUAUGGGGAAAGAAAAAGGAACUUUUUGUUACCCUGGCCGCUUGUGAAUUAAACGAUGCGUGUC
rnacentral:rRNA from 1 species